rnacentral:tRNA from 1 species
UGGGGUAUAGCUCAGUUGGUAGAAGCGGGUGACUGUUAAUCACCAUGUCGUAGGUUCGAGCCCUACUACCCCAGCCA